rnacentral:rRNA from 1 species
GAUGAACGCUGGCGGCGUGCCUAAUACAUGCAAGUCGAGCGAACAGACGAGGAGCUUGCUCCUCUGACGUUAGCGGCGGACGGGUGAGUAACACGUGGAUAACCUACCUAUAAGACUGGGAUAACUUCGGGAAACCGGAGCUAAUACCGGAUAAUCUAUUGAACCGCAUGGUUCAAUAGUGAAAGACGGUUUUGCUGUCACUUAUAGAUGGAUCCGCGCCGCAUUAGCUAGUUGGUAAGGUAACGGCUUACCAAGGCAACGAUGCGUAGCCGACCUGAGAGGGUGAUCGGCCACACUGGAACUGAGACACGGUCCAGACUCCUACGGGAGGCAGCAGUAGGGAAUCGUCCGCAAUGGGCGAAAGCCUGACGGAGCAACGCCGCGUGAGUGAUGAAGGUCUUCGGAUCGUAAAACUCUGUUAUUAGGGAAGAACAAAUGUGUAAGUAACUAUGCACGUCUUGACGGUACCUAAUCAGAAAGCCACGGCUAACUACGUG